rnacentral:rRNA from 1 species
UACGUAGGUGGCGAGCGUUGUCCGGAUUUACUGGGCGUAAAGGGAGCGUAGGCGGAUUUUUAAGUGAGAUGUGAAAUACUCGGGCUCAACUUGAGUGCUGCAUUUCAAACUGGAAGUCUAGAGUGCAGGAGAGGAGAAUGGAAUUCCUAGUGUAGCGGUGAAAUGCGUAGAGAUUAGGAAGAACACCAGUGGCGAAGGCGAUUCUCUGGACUGUAACUGACGCUGAGGCUCGGAAGCGUGGGGAGCAAACAGG